rnacentral:rRNA from 1 species
GACGAACGCUGGCGGCGUGCUUAACACAUGCAAGUCGAGCGGUAAGGCCCUUUCGGGGGUACGACGAGCGGCGAACGGGUGAGUAACACGUGGGUGACCUGCCCUCAGCUCUGGGAUAAGCCUGGGAAACCGGGUCUAAUACCGGAUAUGACUCCAUGACGCAUGUUGUGGGGUGGAAAGCCUUGUGCGGCUGAGGAUGGGCCCGCGGCCUAUCAGCUUGUUGGUGGGGUGAGGCCUACCAAGGCGACGACGGGUAGCCGGCCUGAGAGGGCGACCGGCCACACUGGGACUGAGACACGGCCCAGACUCCUACGGGAGGCAGCAGUGGGGAAUCUUGCGCAAUGGGCGAAAGCCUGACGCAGCGACGCCGCGUGAGGGAUGACGGCCUCGGUU